rnacentral:rRNA from 1 species
UACGGAGGAUCCGAGCGUUAUCCGGAUUUAUUGGGUUUAAAGGGUGCGUAGGCGGCACUUUAAGUCAGGAGUGAAAGACGGCAGCUCAACUGUCGCAGUGCUCUUGAUACUGAAGUGCUUGAAUGCCGUUGAAGAUGGCGGAAUGAGACAAGUAGCGGUGAAAUGCAUAGAUAUGUCUCAGAACUCCGAUUGACGAAGGCAGCUAUCUAAGCGGUGAUUGACGCUGAUGCACGAAAGCGUGGGGAUCGAACAGG